rnacentral:lncRNA from 1 species
UGUAUCUAGUGAUAAGUUCAUGUUAUUCUUUUUCUUAUUAAUAUGUUGUAUAACAUUGAUUAACUUUCAUAUUUUGGGCCAACUUUGCAUUUCUCGGGGCCAGGACACUCAGUAUCACUGCCUUCCACCUUCGCAUCUUGUUCCACCAGAAGAUCUUCUGGGUAAUCACACGCAUGGAGCUGCCAGCGCCUGUGAGAACAAUGCUUUCUUCUGGAAGACUUCCCGAAGGACCUGCCCUAAGCUGUUUUACAGUUUACUUUUUUUAUCUUCUGCCUUGAUUCCCAGUGUCCAAAUACAAAAGUAUUGACUACUGUCCCUGAUGUGACGAGCAGGAUCUAUUGAAGCCGAACACAUCAUCUUUCAGUUCCAGGUAGGAGUGCAGUAAGAAGAGUUUUCUUACAGGCAUGAUCGCUGUGAUGGAUAAGUGUGUCUUGGACUCUAAUGAAUGAACCAGCGACUUAGUCACCAGCCGCCUACACUAAUAAGGUGAGGGUGUGAUGCUGGUUUGGGCAGGGAAGGUCUUUGGUCUCUUUAUAGAUUUUAGAAUGCUAAAAUAAAAUGACCUGUGGGAUCCUGAAACCAAAAGAGGACAUCAGUGGGAAAACACAUGGAAUCGGGGGUCUGUUCCUAGAGAUGCUUCACGGAACUCUAGACCAUGUUAAUGUUUGUUUUGAACCACAUGUCUUGGGUAACACUGGGGGAUGUUGGAUUGGGGGGAUACGGGAUCUCUCUGUACUGUCUUUGCAACUUUUUCCGUAAAUCUAAGAUGAUCCACAAAUAAAAGCUUUAUUGAAAAAUA